AUUGAACGCUGGCGGCAGGCCUAACACAUGCAAGUCGAGCGGUAACAGGACUAGCUUGCUAGUUGCUGACGAGCGGCGGACGGGUGCGUAACACGUAGGAAUCUGCCUAGUAGUGGGGGAUAGCCCGGAGAAAUUCGGAUUAAUACCGCAUACGCCCUAAGGGGGAAAGCAGGGGAUCUUCGGACCUUGCGCUAUUGGAUGAGCCUGCGUCGGAUUAGCUAGUUGGUGGGGUAAAGGCCUACCAAGGCGACGAUCCGUAGCUGGUCUGAGAGGAUGAUCAGCCACACUGGGACUGAGACACGGCCCAGACUCCUACGGGAGGCAGCA
rnacentral:rRNA from 1 species